GGUUCCAGCAGCUUCUAGACAGCCUCGGGCAGUUCGGGCUCAGUUUGAACUUUGCACUCGACCUUUCUCCAUCGAUCCAUCCUCACAGGAGUCUUCCGCUAUGUUCAUCAGUCCCAUUUUUGGGGAAGAACUUGGUGGUGCCCAGAUCCAGGAAACGUUGGAGGUGUUUAUAUAUACUUGGCUGGCGAUAAUGAACGACGAAUUUGUGAAGUGCAGGAACCUUUAUCAACUAACAUUGCAAAGCAGAGGAUAAGGCAUGACUAAUCACAGAGAGGAAAGAGUGAACAUGAUGGAGAAGAACAAGCAGGCACAAGUUUCAGGCUAGAGGUGACAUGACAUACAUGAGAGAGAGAGAGAGAGAGAGAGAGAGAGAGAGAGAGAGAGAGAGAGAGAGAGAGAGAGAGAGAGAGAGAGAGAGAGAGAGAGAGAGAGAGA